UCUAUAGAUGACCAGAGACCAAAGCGGCGAUCAUCUGAACAGCCUCUUUCACAGUGGUACAUCCCUCCAGGUAACCAUUCACAAGUCUUGUACAGUAGAGCGGGACAUUACAUUUACUCUCAGCCGAAUUGACCUGAGAAAGCAUAUAAGUUCAUGCACUCCACUGGCCUGCACCACGAUUAGUAUAAGGUGGAGUAAUGCACGAAUGGAUAAAAAAGAGUGAGCUGUUGAGGAGCAAAUGGAGAUCCGUGUCCAGGGGAGUGAUGCUAUUGCGAGUGUGAAAGGUUGUCCAGGAAGUAACUAAGAAGACAUGAACAGAGAGGUGGUGAUCCUCAGAGGACCGAUGAAGUAGAGCAGCCAGCACCCCAAGUAGAGCAGGCACUGUGGAAAAAUAGUUGUGACUCAACCAGACCAUUACAAAGUAUGGCCUGGAGGAUUUUCAUCUCAAGGUGCAAGAACAUUCUUAAUGACUGUACACGGCGGCUGCUGAUGGACGAUGUUGGGCCAGAUGUGCUACAGUUAGCGUUAAGGAGGUUGGAGACUAUGCAGAGAAGCCUUCAGUGGGCAAGAGGAAGACUGAUCAAUGUAACUGCAGCAGAUCAACUUCUGCGUGACUUGGCUGAAUUGAUUCAGGAGGUCGAACUGUCUACUCAGCAUGGCCAACAAGGCUGUUUUGGAUACCAGGCACCAGUGGUUUUCAACAGAGGUAGAGGUAGAUCCCUUUACCUUAUCACUCGGGAACAGCUUUCAUUCCUGAAGUCAUGUGGAUUCACUGCACCUCAGAUGGCUGAUAUUUUGAAUGUUUCACUUCGUACAAUUCGAAGACGUCUGCGACAGUAUCAUUUCACCCGUGCAUCAAUGUAUGCGGAACUGACUGACAGUGCCUUGGAUGAACAUGUGCAGGACAUUGUUGCUGGCAAUGAACAAAUUGGUCCUGAGGCUGUCAGAGCCUCCCUGCGAGUACGUGGACUACGUGUACAGUGAAGGAGGGUUCGAGCAAGCAUGUUACGGAUAAAUCCUGGAGCAGCUGCCCUUAGAGCAGUUUUGCGGAGACCAGAACGAAGAACAUAUCAGGUUGCAGGUCCAAACUCAUUGUGGCACAUUGAUGGAAAUCACAAGCUGAUAAGGUGGAGGAUAGUCAUUCAUGGGGCUAUUGAUGGAUACAGUCGUCUUGUGGUCUUCCUUCAUGCCUCAAACAACAACCGUAGCAGUACCGUUUUAUCAAGUUCCAUCAGAGCCGUGGUAUCCUAUGGUGUACCCUCGAGGGUCCGGACAGACAGAGGAGGGGAAAACAAUGCUGUCUGCCUGAUGAUGAACAUUUUCAGAGGCUUUGAUCGUGGAAGUGCCCUAAGAGGAAGGAGUACCCAUAAUCAGAGAAUUGAGAGGCUCUGAGGUGAUCUGUGGCGAGGAAUGACCAAUGUCUACUGUGAUUUAUUUCACCACCUGGAGGAGGAAGGCAUCAUAGACAUUGACAAUGAAAUGCACCUUUGGGCUCUCCAUUACAUCUAUCUCCCAAGGAUCAACAGAGAUUUGAAAGACUUCUCUCAAGAGUGGAACAAUCAUGGCUUGCGGACAGAGAGACACUUGAGCCCAUUACAGAUUUUUGUCCGAGGCAGCCUCCAGCAACAGGGCCGAGCCUCAACUGCCAUGCAGGACAUCUUUCAGACUAGAGCAGCUGCUGCUGAUGGGACUAUUGGUGGGACAGCUGAUGGUAGUGUGACAGCCACUGAGAGUGAGACGACUGCUGCUCAGGGCUUAGGUACUGAUUCUGGUGGUGGUGCUCAUGGUACAGAUGAGCUGGGAUUGCUGGUCGACUGGCCUGAGAGGAUUACUGUGCCAGACAUUGAAUUUACUCUGGACGAACCGAUGAUGGAGCAAGUGGUAGAACUAUUUAAUCCACUAACUGGCACCAGAGGGAGUCAUGGUAUUGAACUCAUCACUGGCUUAAUAUACUUUCUGGACUCGACAUAUCAUUGAGACAGUUCAAUUAUUGACUGAAACAUAAUAGCAGCAAGUGGAAAGACUUCAAAAUAUCUAGGUGACUGGAUACAUAUAAUGUGAAAAGUUAUAAUACGUGUUUACUAUGUACCAUUGAGUAGUGGAGAUACAAGAACGAGCUGUGUGACACUGACAAUAAAAAAUGAUGAGUGAUUUUUAAAGUGUAUAAGAUGGAAGUUGUGAAAUGGAAAGUAUACAUCUGAAGCUGAAUCUCGAUAAAGUCAACUUGAUUAAUCUAAAAGUUACAGCUGUUGAUAUUGAUAAAUACAACUAUAAAGCAGUGACAGUAAAUAAUUAAAAAAUAAAAAACUGUAUAGUAGGUCUUGAAGUGGCUCAGUAUAGUGUAGUAGAUAUAAAGUGGUUUAGCGUGUGUUUGAUGUUGUGACAGUUCACAGCGAGCACAUUAUGUUUUGCUUUGUACAGAUUAUGCUUUGUACAAACAUAGUUCUGAAAAUACUGGACUCCAGUGUAAAAUGUGAAUAAAAAAAGAGCAAGCACUGAUUUGCAAAUGUGAAAGGCAAAGUUUGUUCACAGUAGAACAUAGAAAACAUGUCAAGUGUUUACACUGAGACUAUGUCGUUAAAAAUAAGUCCAUUUUAAUUUGAUGGCAGCAAUAUGUUUCAAAACAGUUGGGAUGGGGCAAGAGAAGGCUGGAAAAAGUGGUACUAAAAAGAAACAGCUGCAGGGAUAUUUUAAAAGUAACAGGUCAGUUACAUGAUUAGAUAUUAAAAGCAUCUUAGAGAAGCAGAGUUGCUCUGGAGGAAAUAUGGGCA